AUGGAGAAUACUCAGACAUCAGUGGGAAUCCCAAAGCGUUCCAGGAUGGCCACUGAUAAAGCCCAGGAACUCAAUUAUUUUUGGCCCAUGGAUCCCUAUAGGUUGGCCUGAAAGGGCCCUACUGUGCAUACAAGAAGUGGUAAGCCCUCAGAGGGAAAUGGCAAGGUACAUGACAUGACUGUGAGACGUAUGAACAGACCUUUUAGUCUGAAGAUAAAUCAGCCUCUUCUGACCAACAAAGGCUGGGGGGCUGAUCCUGUCGGUGCCUGUUAUCAGCACUGGGAGCCUGUGGACGACAUCACUGGAGAAAUCAUCGCUGGCUUUCCUCUUCACAGCACUGUCUGAUCAGACAUUCAGAUAUCAGGAGGUGUCCACAUUAUUGAACACAGUAUUGUAGUAGCUGGCAAAGUGUGACCUGCAGUUGUCGGUACAAUCUGAAAGGACAUCUGUACCAUGAGCAACACCGGUACCCAGAGGCUGAACAAGUCCCUUGUCGCAGCAAAUGCCUCCUGAGUUGAUGGCACAAGGAUAGCCUCUAGUGGAGGAAGCACAGAACGCAAGAUACAGCUCAAGAGGACUCGGGGGGGCAGAGGUGCUUUUAUUACAUCCUUUCAUCUCCUGGAUUUUGAGCUGCUCAGGAUACUGGAGUGACUCCCAGAAUAACAGUAUAUGUCCCACCAAUGAGGUUGCUCUAAUUUACAGCUGCCAGUGGAGUCGUUCUGCAUCCCAGAAUUACAGAUAAAUAUGCACUGAUUCUUCCACUAGAGUUCUUUUUAAGAACCAGUGGACACAUUCUUUGACAGACUCCUGUUAGCUUACUGCUGCAACUCAUUUAAUUACUGCUUAAUUUAAAAAAAAGCUGUGUGUAUGCUUCUUAAUCUAAAUCAAGAAAAGAUACAUAGGCCAUACAUGUCCAUCGAAGUAUCCUGGUCGAUCUGCUGGUUGAUAAACUCUGGUACUACAGAAAAACAGAUUUGCUUUCCUGUGCAAGGUUUACAUUUUUUUCCCUGCUGUGCACUUAUAUACCCUUCAUUGUUUAUUUGAUUGACAGGUGUACUCUUUGAUUCUGCUGUUGAGACAGAAGAGCCUGUUGGGUUUUUCAUCCAUGAGCGUAUGCUUGUCACCAUUUCCUCCAUAUAAAGGGCAUCAAGUACUAGAAAAGACAUAAAAGAUAACAGUUUAUACUGACUCCAUAAACAGGAUUCAUUUUAAAUUGUCACAUCCUAGUAGAUCAAGAAAAAAUAAUAUAGUCUUGCAGGAACUACAUUUAAAGUCUACUUUUGUGUAUGAAGUCAUUCCAUCAACUCGGGUUACCUUAAAGAAGUCAUCUUGAGCGAGUAUACUGCAAUUUGGAAGCUGUUUCCUAAGUCGUUUUGCCAGUGUUGUUUUCCCCCCAUUUGUCACACUGACUUUGAAAAUGGAAUAAACAAUGUGUCAGGACAAAAAUAAUGCAUAACAUAGGAGUGCAAUGUGCGCUAGCAAAAAGGCAAUUACAAAAAGUUAAUUUUAUUCAGAAUAAUUUGCAAUUUCCUAACAUUUGUUUGGAAAAUACUUAGUCCUGCCAUGAGUACAGGG